rfam:Fulvivirga imtechensis AK7 contig15, whole genome shotgun sequence.
UAUGCGGAAGCCGAAAAGCAGUAACAGAGUAGGCA